AGCUGUUCUAGACACCAGGGAUUUCUCUUUGACCACGAUUGUCCAUUUCUUUCUAGAGUGAGGGUACAAACCGAAUCAUACAGUUGAGAAACUGAGUACUUUGGAGAUAGUGUCACCUACACACAUGAAAGAGGGGCAGCAUUUCAUAUGGGAUCUAUAUCACCUCUAGGCAGCUCUACCUACCUAACCAGAACCCAAACUACUGUGUAAGGAAAGCACAUACUACUGCGAGCAGAAAAUAAUUAUCCUUUUCUGCUCAAACGCCUUCAGAGACCAUCACUGUCAAGAGAAAGGAAAUGCUCUAGAAUAUUUGUGGCUUACAUUUGUGUCCCCCAGUAAAUCUGGCUUCCAUUUUUCAGAUGUGAAUUCUGCAGGAGGCCAGUUAUGCUCAGACCUGAGUUGUCACAUCACAGAAGAAAAUGUACCAAGAGGAUGACUAAGCAGUCUUAUUUUUAAUUCCUAAAUAAUGUCCAGCAUGAGUCAACCUGGCAAAUUCUGAAGUCCAUGGAAGAAAACUGAUGUAAAAUAGGAAGUAUAAAUAAAUGCUAUUGGGAAUGCAUUAUAUAAAACUUCUUAUUGCCAGCACCUGAAAAAAAGGGACUCUAAGUGUUGCCUCCUAAUCUCAUCCCCACGUGCUACCUACAGUACCAUCUAACUGUAAGGCUUUCUAAUCUAUGGCACGAGAAUGUAGAGCCUAAAAUGCUACUGGUGUUUGCAAUGAACAGCUCCUUUAUGGCGUGCACCUUC